GUGGGUGGAAGCUCAUCAUAGAGGUCACAUGCAGGGUGCUCAUCACUCAACCAAUCACCUUGGGGAAGGUCUGAGACGAGAGCCAAUCACUGCCCUAGCAGGGUAUCACCUGAUCGGGGUGAGUGAGUGCUCAGAGAAUAUGAGCCAUUGUGAGUUGUCUUUACAGAAGAACCCAGCCAGUACAGCUCUCCAGCACUACUGGUGGAUGUGACCUCACUGGCUUGGCAACACUCAUGGCUGGCAUAUGAGUGCAAUGUGUGAGUUGGAGUACACCUCCAGAACCCAAUUCAGACUACUCUCUGCCCCC
rnacentral:RNase_P_RNA from 1 species